CUCUUCGGAGUUAGUGGCGGACGGGUGAGUAACACGUGGGAACGUGCCUUUAGGUUCGGAAUAACUCAGGGAAACUUGUGCUAAUACCGAAUGUGCCCUUCGGGGGAAAGAUUUAUCGCCUUUAGAGCGGCCCGCGUCUGAUUAGCUAGUUGGUGAGGUAAAGGCUCACCAAGGCGACGAUCAGUAGCUGGUCUGAGAGGAUGAUCAGCCACAUUGGGACUGAGACACGGCCCAAACUCCUACGGGAGGCAGCAGUGGGGAAUCUUGCGCAAUGGGCGAAAGCCUGACGCAGCCAUGCCGCGUGAAUGAUGAAGGUCUUAGGAUUGUAAAAUUCUUUCACCGGGGACGAUAAUGACGGUACCCGGAGAAGAAGCCCCGGCUAACUUCGUGCCAGCAGCCGCGGUAAUACGAAGGGGGCUAGCGUUGCUCGGAAUUACUGGGCGUAAAGGGAGCGUAGGCGGACAUUUAAGUCAGGGGUGAAAUCCCGGGGCUCAACCUCGGAAUUGCCUUUGAUACUGGGUGUCUUGAGUGUGAGAGAGGUAUGUGGAACUCCGAGUGUAGAGGUGAAAUUCGUAGAUAUUCGGAAGAACACCAGUGGCGAAGGCGACAUACUGGCUCAUUACUGACGCUGAGGCUCGAAAGCGUGGGGAGCAAACAGGAUUAGAUACCCUGGUAGUCCACGCCGUAAACGAUGAUUGCUAGUUGUCGGGAUGCAUGCAUUUCGGUGACGCAGCUAACGCA
rnacentral:rRNA from 1 species